rnacentral:lncRNA from 1 species
AAUAAUUGAAUUAUUUUCAAGAAUAAGAGAGAGAGAAAGGCUACUUUAUUCUCAUUUUUCUCCCAACACUCAUCUUAGACUCUCUCUCUCUAAAAGCUACGAAAUUAGCUUGCUAGAUCAGUCUAUAAUCAAAGACCAACCAUCACAAACCACAAAUUAGAAGCAUCAAGAAGCCAGAAAUCAAAAAUCAAGCUUAAAAAGGU